AGUAACACGUGUGUAACCUGCCCAUAAGACUGGGCGUAACUCCGGGAAACCGGGGUCUAAUACCUGGCAUAACAUUUUGAACCGCAUGGCUCGAAAUUGAAAGGCGGCUUCGGCUGUCACUUAUGGAUGGACCCGCGUCGCAUUAGCUAGUUGGUGAGGUAACGGCUCACCAAGGCAACGAUGCGUAGCCGACCUGAGAGGGUGAUCGGCCACACUGGGACUGAGACACGGCCCAGACUCCUACGGGAGGCAGCAGUAGGGAAUCUUCCGCAAUGGACGAAAGUCUGACGGAGCAACGCCGCGUGAGUGAUGAAGGCUUUCGGGUCGUAAAACUCUGUUGUUAGGGAAGAACAAGUGCUAGUUGAAUAAGCUGGCACCUUGACGGUACCUAACCAGAAAGCCACGGCUAACUACGUGCCAGCAGCCGCGGUAAUACGUAGGUGGCAAGCGUUAUCCGGAAUUAUUGCGCGUAAAGCGCGCGCAGGUGGUUUCUUAAGUCUGAUGUGAAAGCCCACGGCUCAACCGUGGAGGGUCAUUGUAAACUGGCAGACUUGAGUGCAGAAACAAGAAAGUGGAAUUCCAUGUGUAGCGGUGAAAUGCGUAGAGAUAUGGAGGAACACCAGUGGCGAAGGCCACUUUCCGGUCUGUAACUGAAACUGAAGCGUUAAAACGUGGCGAACAAACAGGGAAUAGAUAGCCCUGGUACUCCACGCCCGAAAACGACGAGUGCUCAGUGUUUAAGCGCUAUCCACCCCUUAAAGCUCUAGAGCAACCCCAUUAUACACCCCGGCCUGGGGAGGUACGGGCGC
rnacentral:rRNA from 1 species